rnacentral:rRNA from 1 species
CCUACGGGUGGCAGCAGUGGGGAAUAUUGGACAAUGGGGGCAACCCUGAUCCAGCCAUGCCGCGUGUGUGAAGAAGGCCCUCGGGUUGUAAAGCACUUUCAGUGAGGAAGAACGCCUUGUGGUUAAUACCCAUCAGGAAAGACAUCACUCACAGAAGAAGCACCGGCUAACUCCGUGCCAGCAGCCGCGGUAAUACGGAGGGUGCGAGCGUUAAUCGGAAUUACUGGGCGUAAAGCGCGCGUAGGUGGCUUGAUAAGCCGGUUGUGAAAGCCCCGGGCUCAACCUGGGAACGGCAUCCGGAACUGUCAAGCUAGAGUGCAGGAGAGGAAGGUAGAAUUCCCGGUGUAGCGGUGAAAUGCGUAGAGAUCGGGAGGAAUACCAGUGGCGAAGGCGGCCUUCUGGACUGACACUGACACUGAGGUGCGAAAGCGUGGGUAGCAAACAGGAUUAGAUACCCCUGUAGUC